rnacentral:lncRNA from 1 species
UUUUUUUUGUUUUUUUGUUUUUUAAUGUUUGUGCCGUUAACACGUUGAAUUAAUUCCUCAGUUUGCCUUGAUAUAAAACAGAUUUAGGGUUUGGGUGUUGAGGGUUUAACUGGAGAGAAGUUAUGAGAAGAGGAAAUGACAGUAGAACAAGAGAGACUAUCAGGGGGUAGAUGGGAUUAAAUUCAGGUCCUGCAAAUAAAAACUCACAUAUCUUCUAGACUACCUGAACCAGCAUCCCAUGCAUCCAAUCCAGUUCAAUGUCCUCCUUGGGAAGAGGUUCCCAUCUACCACCCCUUAUUGUGAAAGGUGGAUGUAUCUAUUCUCUGAACAUGUAUUAGGGAUUCAGGACUCAAAAUGGGCCUGUUCAGAAGCCUCAAUACCUGUCCAGAAAAUGCUACCUUCUUAUAAGAUGCAAAGCCAUUUUCAAUCAGAGCAAAAAUAAUGUGCAGCUCAAAUCUUGUUUUCAUAUAUGAUUAUGAAUCAUUUAUCCUGGCUUGAGCCCUGCUGAGCAUGGUUCCAUCCGAGAAUCACCAUAAUCCCCCUGAGAACACAGACCUCCUUGCUUCAGCACUUCCCCACUGAGGGCUUAUUAGAGAAAAUACACAGAAGCUACACGACCAAAACAAACCCUUUACCUGAGACUAUCAAAGAUGUUACCUACAGCAGCGAUAUACAACGGAGGACCUCAGGGUGUGUGCACCCUUCAUGUAAUGCCACCAUUCAUUAUCUGCGUGUCACUCUGCAUUUGGCUUUGCAGCCACUUGUCUUGCCGAAAAUGAGCAGUAGGAUGAUAGAAGAGUGGAAACAGAAAGCUGCUUUCUUGGGCAUCAAAAGAAAACUGAAUCCUGAAAUUAACACGUAUUUCCUUUCUUAUCUAAGGUAGGGCCAGGACCAACCCUAGGCAGUUUGCCCUGUGGCAAAGUUUAUUUUCUUCCAUUGCUACACCCUCUUGUCCCCACAUUGCAUCUCCUUUUCAAAGUGCCAACCAUCCAUUCUGUAGCACUACACCGACUGACCGGGUGACGCGUUUUCCUGUAACUUGCAUUCACACCUUCUUCCUGCUUUUUUUCCAGCUGAAUAUGUGUAGUCUUCUACCAUUUUCUCAUAAUUAAGUAGGGAAGCUGGACAGCAUAAUGAUUAUGAAUAUGGGCUUUUGAGCUUCAGUGUCUGAGUUCAAAUCCUGUCUCCAGCACUAAGAAGCUGUGUGGCUCCAGGCAAGUAAUUCAGCCCUCAUUUCUGUCUGCUUUCUCAUCAAUAUGAUGAGCUACCUCAAGGGGUGGUCAGAGAGGCAUAUAUAGUAUGUGAUUAAAGAGAAGUUUGUUUCCUUCCCCACACUGUUCUAUAUCUUGUCUCACCCUUGUCUUUCUCUUUUGGUCACCCUCAUCUGCAGCCCUUCUUCCUAAAAUGGGUUGUUAGGAGCACAGUGCACCUGGUCACAGCCCCUGUGAUGGUUUUCUUCUGGACUGUGUACUUCUCUAAUAGCAUAUACAUCUUUAUAUUUAACCCACUUCUUGUAAUAGAAUUUGGGAGAGCUCCUCAGAUGCAGGUUAUUUGUUUCCAAACAUUUUACCAUUCCUUUGCCUUUUUAUCAAACAACACUGAAAUGCCCUUCUUAAGAUAGGAAUAAUAUAGAAGGAAAUGCUUUGGCCUCACCCACAGCUGAAUGAAGGCUGGCUUGUACCCCAAACACAACUUCAGCUUCAUUUCUAAUUGAGAUUUAAAGUCUUUUUACCCCUGUGAUGUUCUCUCUUUUAAGCUCAAUAUUCAGUGGUACGAUAUAUUAGUUGCUGUAAAAUAUCUUUUUCAGGCAGGGAAUGUGAGCUAUUAGCAGGGCUAUAAUAUGCCAGCUAAAAGGAAAAGGGUUAUAGGCGUGGGUGUGGGCAAGAGGUGUUCUAUGCAACCCCACUGGGACAUCGCCACUUUAGAAAACAAUUUUACAGUCAUAUAGUUAAAUUAACUGGUAGUUAGAGGCAAUUAUGUGAUAAAGUAAAAAUAUUUAUGUUCUUUAGAGCUCCAAAACUGUCAUUUGAAGUGUGACAAAUUUUUAAGUAAUUUCACCUGCAACUUUUGAAAGAUUAGUUCUAUGACUAAGGGCAUAAAAUUGAAACAGGUUGCCACUGUAAAAUAAAAUCAAACUUAUCUCCUCCUUGUAAUUUUGCUUGAAUUUAGUGCUCAUGGAAUGUCUCACUGUCAUAGUUUCUGUGCUUCAAGUCUUUAUUUUCUAAACAACUGCAAUUUGAAAUUUAAGACUUUAAAAAGCAAUCCUCCCUUAAGAAGUUCAAAAUACAUGCGUGUACACAUGCAUACACACACUUGUACAGUUCUUGGUGCCCUGCUUUAUCAUGUUUGGGGCAUUUUUUUUAUGGUAAGCACAAGCUCAUACUUUUUCUUAUUUUCAUUAAAAAGUCCAUUGGAAGCCAUAAGCCAUUAAAAAAAAAAAAGAAAAGAAAUCACCUACUAUCAUAUCUUCUACACAGCUAUUUUAUGGUUACUCAUUAUCAUUUUUGUCUCUGCUCAUGUACAUUUACAUUUUUACAUAAUUGCAACUAUAGUGUAUAUACAAUUUUGUGUUUUUCUUCAGUACUUCAUAUUGUGCAUUUUUAGUGUUGUUAGUCUCCGUGACCAUCAUUUUAACAAGCUGCAAAAUAUUAUUUUCAAUGACUACAUCAUAAUUCAUUUUACUAUUCUUCUAUCAUUGGGUGCUUCAGUGGUUUCUAGUAUUUCACUCUUGUAAAUAGUGCUGCAAUGAACAUUUUUAUGCUAUGGCUUUCUCUUUUCUUUUAUUAAAUUUCCUUGGGCUAGAAUCCCACAAGUGGGGUUAGCAGGUUAAAAUACAUGUGCUUUUUACUUUGGUAGCUCUGGAUACCCAAGGUCAAAUUGCUUUUCAAAGUAUUUUAUCAAUUGACAUGACCUCCAGCAAUAUAGUUCAUCUAUACUUUUGUGUAUAAAUUUGAUAGCAACAUGUUUAUUUAUAUGGCUUCACUGAUAUUAUACAUAAUUCUAAAGCAUUUACUGGGUCUCCUAAUCUUUGGCCUUGGUGGAAGGCCUUUUGCUCCUGCAGCUUUCAUGGGUGUCACAGCAUUCAAAUGCAAGUGCAUACAGGGACACACACAUAUAAGCCCCAGAUGUCAGAUGGGUAGUUCAGUAGGAGUAGCGGAGAUCAGUCAGAUAUUUGCCCUUAUGUAUUGGAAGUACAAAGACAUAAAGGAAAAAAAUAGUAUGUGGAGUUCAGUCUUCAGGCUUUCUCACCUUGCUCUCACCUCUUCUUUCCACCACUUAACUGCCUCAGUCUUAAACUCCAGCCCCUGCCGAGGCUGUGCUCUCUUUCAUUCCUGGCAGGACACCAGCCUUUGUGUAUUGCUGUUGGUCUAUCUGGCCUUUCACCAUAGUCUACCUGCCUCUGAAUGUCACCAUGAGAAAAUGUGUAUAUUCAAUUCAUCCCUUCCCCCAACCUCAAACUGCUCCCCGUCAUGUAGACAAAGGGCUGCCCACAGAGCUGUGCGUGGAGUAGGCCCACCGAGUGCAAAAUAGCACAGAGGAUAAACAUGUUCCUAGCUGACCAAGCAAUGGAUAAGCUUGCUAAUCUCCCACCAAUACAGUUCAUGAGUUGUAGUCAUCUAAUCAUAGGAGUCUGGAUCAGAGCCAGUAACUCAUUUCACAUGGGUCACUCAGGAGCCCAAGAUAGAAAUAAGUUUAAAUCAAUGCAAUCAAAAGGUGAAAACCUCCAUAUAACUGGAGGUGUAAGGAGCAGAGCUUAUUGGCAUCUUGAAUUGUUGUAGCUCUCAUAAAAAGUUAUAGCUUUAACCUUUCAUAUAUGAUGGUUCUAGUCUAAUUUUUAUUACAAUAUUAUGGAUAAUGUAUGUCUAUUAGAGAAAAUGUGUGCUUUUGAAAAUGAUAAUGCCAUAUUUACUUUUACAUUUUCUUGCUCAUAGAAUUUGGCCCCCAUUUCGGAAAAUUCCUGCUUGGGACAGCAAUGACAAAGGUCGGUUUUUCAGAGCUUAUAGGGUAUCAGGUUCCCAGCCAUAAGAGGUUGAAAUAAUAAUAAAGGCACCAUGUACCUCUGGAGUAGUUCUUGCAAAUGACCUGAGGGUUACCUUGAGCCUGAAAAAGGAACUGCUCUAUACCUUUGUUAAGUAUGAUGCUCACCUGGCCAUUGUAGCUUAGAACUGGGCCCAUAUGGAUGGGUGGGUGGGUUAAGCUGCUGGACCAGUCCAUCAGUGAAGAUGAUUAAAUCACAGAAAUUCUCACACUCCCAGAUUCUUUUGCUGAAGAUUGGUUCUCACAUUAGGAACACAUUCUGUAUUCUAUUAAAAAGGUGCUGCUUCUAUAAAGAUCUACAUACAAAAUUAACUGCAAGCAGGAGCAAAUAGCACUGAGCUAUUUGUCACUUAAUGGAAAGAAGUGAGGAAGUAC